CCUGGGAAGCUCUAGGAUGUGGCUUUAAACUGGAAUGACUCUUGGGAGCUAGGUUUGAUAUGGCAUGGUCUCUGAGGCAUCCCUAGUCUGAAGUUCUUCCAGGAAGUCUGCCAAGCUAAACCACAAAGGAUGAACAGCUCAGAGUUUAGCAAGUGCUUCCCAGCUGCCCCCGAGGAGUGCUGGGAGCGAGCCUGGAGAGCUUCCCCAAGGCCUAAAAGGCCGCAGCAGCAUCGCUUACAGGAGCGGCCCUGGAUAAUUCUUGGGUCUCCAGGACUGAACAUUCACUUCUGGAAAGGAAUACGGUCUUCUGGCUAAAAAAGAGUAGCGGAUGUUAAUUCAGAGUCUAAAAACUAUUUAAUGAACUUAAUUGAGAGGAUACCAAACAUUUGACGUCUAUAGAUAGUAAGUAAGCAUAAGCACAGGUAAUUUUGCAAACUGAGUAAAUCCCUUUUCUGAAAUUGAUGUUUCUUUGUCAUCGGUGGCCCUACCAAAACUGUCCUGUGCACAAAUUGACUGUAUUUUAAUACAAGUGGUAUUCACUCACAAUAAAUUUCAAAGGUAUUUCUAUGAA